AUGUCAAGGGGAGGACUCAAACUCAGAUCUCUCUCUGUCUCUCUCUGUGUCUCUCUUCCUCUCUGUCUCUAUAUCUCUCUUCCUCUCUCUCUCUUCCUCUCUUUCUCUCUGUCCCUCUCUCUCUGUCUCUCUGUCUCUCUCUCCUCUCUCUCUGUCUCUGUCUCUCCCUCUCUCCUCUCUCCUCUGUCUGUCUCUCUGUCUCUCUCUGUCUCUGUCUCUCCCUCUCUCUGUCUCUCUCUGUCUCUCUCUCUUCUCUCUGUCUCUGUCUCUCUGUCUCUGUCUCUCUGUCUCUCUGUCUCUGUCUCUCUGUCUCUCUCUCUCUCUGUCUUCUCUCUGUCUCUGUCUCUCUGUCUCUGUCUCUCUGUCUCUCUGUCUCUGUCUCUCUCUCUCUCUCUCUCUCUCUCUCUCUGUCUCUCUCUCUCUCUCUCUCUGUCUCUCUCUCUCUCUCUCUCUCUCUCUCUCUCUCUCUCUCACAAUAAUCUCAUACUCUCUCUGUCUCUCUGUCUCUCUCUCUGCCUCUCUCUCUGUCUCUCUGUCUCUCUGUCUCUCUGUCUCUCUCUCUCUCUCUCUCUCUCUCUCUCUCUCUCUCUCUCUCUCUUCCUCUCUGUCUCUUUCUAUCUCUCUUCCUCUCUCUCUGUCUCUGUCUCUCUCUCUGCCUCUCUCUCUGUCUCUCUCUCUGUCUCCCUCUCCUUCUCCAUCUCCAUCUCCCUCUUUCUCUCUCCAUCCGUUGGGAGGACGGGUUAGCCUGCAAGCACACGUGGCAUCUAUGAGAGACAGCCAGCAUGUUGGGCUGCUUAGAGGCCAAGGCCGUGUGUCCGUUCUUCAUUCGAAUCAGCCACAUUCGCAUGGCUCACGGGUCAUGGACGGCAGCAUCAGAGCUACCAGAGACCUGUGAGGUGGUUCUUUCUGGCUCCCUGGAGGCAGAGCCCAGGCUUGUCAGGCCUGGCGGCCCCUUUGCUUCCCAUCCGUAGGUCUUACCUAGCUGUAGGUCUGUGGGCAAGUCUUUUCCCUGCCUCGGUUCUUGAGUCUGUAAAAUGGCGGUCACUGUACUCAGCACGAAGGAUCCUGCAGAGUAAGACAGGCCAGAGAUGGCGAACCACAAGAGAAGGGAGAAGCCAAUUUCUUCAUUUUACAGAUAAGGAAACUGAGGCAGGGACGAGUGGAGUAACUUGCUGAGGAUCCCAUCGUGAGUGUCUGAGGCAGGAUGUAAUGUAGGUUUUCCUGACAUCGUAGAUGAAGAAGAACAAAUCAGAUCAUGCAGGUAAAAUGGUCUCUAAACUGCCUUUGUAAAUGGCCACUUUGGUUAUUAUUAAUACUAUGGAACCCCUUCAUGAAUGAGCAUCUUUAAGCCACCUACUAUGUGCUGGGCAU
rnacentral:lncRNA from 1 species